GGGGGACAACAGUUGGAAACGACUGCUAAUACCGCAUAAGCGCACAGCUUCGCAUGAAGCAGUGUGAAAAACUCCGGUGGUACAAGAUGGACCCGCGUCUGAUUAGCUGGUUGGUGAGGUAACGGCUCACCAAGUCAACGAUCUGUAGCCGAACUGAGAGGUUGAUCGGCCGCAUUGGGACUGAGACACGGCCCAGACUCCUACGGGAGGCAGCAGUGGGGAAUAUUGCGCAAUGGGGGCAACCCUGACGCAGCAACGCCGCGUGCAGGAAGAAGGUCUUCGGAUUGUAAACUGUUGUCGCAAGGGAAGAAGACAGUGACGGUACCUUGUGAGAAAGUCACGGCUAACUACGUGCCAGCAGCCGCGGUAAUACGUAGGUGACAAGCGUUGUCCGGAUUUACUGGGUGUAAAGGGCGCGUAGGCGGACUGUCAAGUCAGUCGUGAAAUACCGGGGCUUAACCCCGGGGCUGCGAUUGAAACUGACAGCCUUGAGUAUCGGAGAGGAAAGCGGAAUUCCUAGUGUAGCGGUGAAAUGCGUAGAUAUUAGGAGGAACACCAGUGGCGAA
rnacentral:rRNA from 1 species